UAAGGUCGCUAUUUCACACUUAGAAGAUGGUU
rnacentral:piRNA from 1 species